rnacentral:rRNA from 2 species
GAAAAGAAACCAACAGGGAUUGCCCUAGUAACGGCGAGUGAAGCGGCAACAGCUCAAAUUUGAAAUCUGGCUUCGGCCCGAGUUGUAAUUUGCAGAGGAUGUUUCUGGCGCGGUGCCUUCCGAGUUCCCUGGAACGGGACGCCACAGAGGGUGAGAGCCCCGUAUGGUUGGACACCAAGCCUGUGUGAAACUCCUUCGACGAGUCGAGUAGUUUGGGAAUGCUGCUCAAAAUGGGAGGUAAAUCUCUUCUAAAGCUAAAUACCGGCCAGAGACCGAUAGCGCACAAGUAGAGUGAUCGAAAGAUGAAAAGCACCUUGAAAAGGGGGUUAAACAGUACGUGAAAUUGUUGAAAGGGAAGCGCUUGUGACCAGACUUGCGCCGGGCGGUUCAUCCGGGGUUCUCCCCGGUGCACUCCGCCCGGCUCAGGCCAGCAUCGGUUCUCGUUGGGGGAUAAGAACGGCAGGAACGUGGCCCUCCUUCGGGUGGGUGUUAUAGCCUGCCGUACGAUACCCUGACGGGGACCGAGGUUCGCGCUCCGCAAGGAUGCUGGCGUAAUGGUCAUCAGCGACCCGUCUUGAAACACGGACCAAGGAGUCGUCCAUUAGAGCGAGCGUUUGGGUGUCAAACCCGCACGCGUAAUGAAAGUGAAAUUAGGUGAGAGCUUCGGCGCAUCAUCGACCGAUCCUGAUGUUCUCGGAUGGAUUUGAGUAAGAGUUUUAACGGACGGACCCGAAAGACAGUGAACUAUGCUUGUAUAGGGUGAAGCCAGAGGAAACUCUGGUGGAGGCUCGCAGCGGUUCUGACGUGCAAAUCGAUCGUCAAAUAUGAGCAUGGGGGCGAAAGACUAAUCGAACUGUCUAGUAGCUGGUUACCGCCGAAGUUUCCCUCAGGAUAGCAGUGUUGACCUUCAGUUUUAUGAGGUAAAGCGAAUGAUUAGGGACUCGGGGGCGCUUUUUAGCCUUCAUCCAUUCUCAAACUUUAAAUAUGUAAGAAGCCCUUGUUACUUAGUUGAACGUGGGCAUUCGAAUGUAUCAACACUAGUGGGCCAUUUUUGGUAAGCAGAACUGGCGAUGCGGGAUGAACCGAACGCGGGGUUAAGGCGCCAGAGUGUACGCUCAUCAGACACCACAAAAGGCGUUAGUACAUCUUGACAGCAGGACGGUGGCCAUGGAAGUCGGAAUCCGCUAAGGACUGUGUAACAACUCACCUGCCGAAUGUACUAGCCCUGAAAAUGGAUGGCGCUCAAGCGUACCGCCCAUACCCCGCCCUCAGGGUAGAAACGAUGCCCUGAGGAGUAGGCGGCCGUGGAGGUCAGUGACGAAGCCUAGGGCGUGAGCCCGGGUCG